CGGGCCGUAGCGAAGCCUGGAUAUCGCGCCACACUGGGGGUGUGGAGAUCGCUGGUUCAAAUCCAGUCGGCCCGAC
rnacentral:tRNA from 1 species